rnacentral:lncRNA from 1 species
CACAAUCUAAAGUUAACUUGCCGUUAAUCAAGAUGCAACUGCUGCCAAUCCUCGUGCUCCUCGCUCUCCUCAUCUGCGCCGCCUGCAAGAACCACGAGGACUGGGGAGGAUACCGACCAAGUGACUACGAUCCCAGGCCAUAUUUCCGGCAGUUCUAAAUGAUCACGAAACUCAACCCACAGGAAAAUCUUUACGAAAAAUCGAUGCAACCAUAGAAAGAAAAUAAAC